UACGAAGGGGGCUAGCGUUGUUCGGAAUUACUGGGCGUAAAGGGCGCGUAGGCGGUGUGUCAAGUCAGGCGUGAAAGCCCCGGGCUCAACCUGGGAACGGCGCUUGAGACUGGCACGCUCGAGUUCGGGAGAGGAUGGUGGAAUUCCCAAUGUAGAGGUGAAAUUCGUAGAUAUUCGCAAGAACACCAGUGGCGAAGGCGGCUCACUGGCCCGGUACUGACGCUGAGGUGCGAAAGCGUGGGGAGCAAACAGG
rnacentral:rRNA from 1 species